CGGGGUAACGGCCCACCAAGGCAACGAUCAGUAGGGGUUCUGAGAGGAAGGUCCCCCACAUUGGAACUGAGACACGGUCCAAACUCCUACGGGAGGCAGCAGUGAGGAAUAUUGGUCAAUGGACGAGAGUCUGAACCAGCCAAGUAGCGUGCAGGAAGACGGCCCUAUGGGUUGUAAACUGCUUUUAUAAGGGAAUAAAGUGAGAGUCGUGACUCUUUUGCAUGUACCUUAUGAAUAAGGACCGGCUAAUUCCGUGCCAGCAGCCGCGGUAAUACGGAGGAUGCGAGCGUUAUCCGGAUUUAUUGGGUUUAAAGGGAGCGCAGACGGGUCGUUAAGUCAGCUGUGAAAGUUUGGGGCUCAACCUUAAAAUUGCAGUUGAUACUGGCGUCCUUGAGUGCGGU
rnacentral:rRNA from 1 species